rnacentral:rRNA from 1 species
GAGGCAGCAGUAAGGAAUAUUGGUCAAUGGACGCAAGUCUGAACCAGCCAUGCCGCGUGGAGGAUUAAGGCCCUCUGGGUUGUAAACUCCUUUUAUCUGGGAAGAAAUCCAUUUUUUCUAAAGUGGUUGACGGUACCAGAGGAAUAAGCACCGGCUAACUCCGUGCCAGCAGCCGCGGUAAUACGGAGGGUGCAAGCGUUAUCCGGAUUCACUGGGUUUAAAGGGUGCGUAGGCGGGCAGGUAAGUCCGUGGUGAAAUCUCUGAGCUUAACUCAGAAACUGCCAUGGAUACUAUUUGUCUUGAAUAUUGUGGAGGUAAGCGGAAUAUGUCAUGUAGCGGUGAAAUGCUUAGAUAUGACAUAGAACACCAAUUGCGAAGGCAGCUUACUACACAGUUAUUGACGCUGAGGCACGAAAGCGUGGGGAUCAAACAGGAUUAGAUACCCUGGUAGUCCACGCCCUAAACGAUGAUUACUCGACAUCAGCGAUAC